rnacentral:lncRNA from 1 species
AUGGCCAGCUCGCCAGGGUCAGCUCUCCAUCAGUGGGCUUCUGUGCGCACCGUGGCCAGCCAGAGCAUCACAGACCUGAUAUUUCCUCUGCUGGUGGCCAAGAUGCCUUUUGUUUUUCACUUCCAGGCUCUCCUGCUUUUUUACACAUCACAAGGACACAUGAUGGGACCUCCAAAGCCCUCAGCCGUGGCCUGGCAGUGGGCAUUUUGCAUCCCAGCAGAAGCAGGCUGUGGUGGGGCGCUUGGGAAAAUCCCAAUACAUUGUUCUGAGAUGACCAGAAGUAUAAAGUUCUGGUUUAUAUUAAAAAGGAAGGUGCUAUUCUCAUUUGUUUUCAAUGCCCAAGGCUUCAAGAAACAGCACAUGCUGCUAGAGACCAGCAAUAUGAUACAAACAAUUGGCAAUAUUGCAUCAGUGAUUUAGAUGUCUCCUCUCAUUUUACCUGCAGUAUUAGAGAACAGUGAUCCACACUUCAGAACAAAUAGCAUGGUUGGAAAACAAAUAACAAAGUGAUCUCAUUUUUCUGAGGUGAGGAAAAGUCUCUCUUUCAAACAAUGUGCCAUCUCUAGCCUCCCUCAUCACAGUGCAACGGAGGGUGGGAUUAAUUGAACCUGAUUUAGUUAGAAAUGAAGCAUCUCACCUCAGUUCAUUGCCUAAUUCCUCCUGCAGUCAAUGGGGGCAGUGCCAGACAGUGAUUCAUCCCACCUACCCCUGUACCUGGCUUAAGUGGGAUGAAUCAGCCACCGCUGCCUCCUCUCUUGCCGCUGGCUGCAGAGGCUGUGCAGGCAGCAGCUCGGAUGAGAGGUCCUGCUUCUGGCCAGGUGUGCCUGGGUGAGGUGAGGCCUUUGUGUGUUGGCCUCCAGGAUGGACUCACCUGGCACUGGGCACGGCUCACAGGAUCCUCCCUGGGGUCACUGAGCCUGGGAGCCUCCCCUGGCUGCAGGAGGAGCAGAGGGCAGCAAGCCAGCCCCGCUGGCCACCUAACAUGUAGGCUGACGUGUCUCCUCAUGACGCACCAAGCCAUCCCCAAGUGUCUGGGAAACUGAGUUGGAUCCUGACAUGAAAACAAAGUUGGCUUAAGAGCAGUUCCUAGAGGAAGCAUAAGCUGCACAGGGGCAGAAACCACAUCAGCUGCUGACUGAGAAGUAUGGCAUUACUGGUUAAUGCAGUCCCCACACCUGCAUGCAGGUUGUUGAUGGCAAAGGAUACCAUCAUUACCCUCUUGGUUUCAAGCCCAACAGGUUCAGGAUGUGUGCUCUCUGACUGAACUGAAACUGCUCAUAGUAGAAAUUUCUUCGUACCUGCACCAUGGAAAUAUGGAGUAACUCUGCUUAAGACAAAACCAAACAAAAACUUUCCUACUAUAACUGUUAGUGGUUAUUUGGUGUCCAUAUACAUCUCUAAAUUCUUUUUCUUUACCCUAAAAAUCAAGGUCUCUGAUGUAUUGUGUAUCUAGAUCUCUAUCAGCUAAUUAUGCAUACUGCAAAACUAAUGCUUUGUUCAGCAGCUACAGAUGUUCUGUUCAUGUUGGAAAGCUAAACAGAACCACCCUGUUUGCCAUCUGGUUAUCCUUAAUUAUUACCUUGCUACCAAAUCUAUACCCUGAGGAUGAGAUUUACCACAGUUUGCCCACAUUUUAUCACUCUCUGAGAAACUGCUAUGGGAUAUUAUGAAAAUAGGUACAGUUCUGGAGCAUGAGCAUGUAACAGAAUGGUUAUUAAGCUGUCUGUACUCCUCUGGAUAGGAAUUUGUGCCCAGAUUGUACAUUGUGACUGUCUCUGAACCUCAUUGUCUUCUCCCUUCCUGUUAAAGGCAGCAUGGGGUUGCAGAGUGGCUCAAGCUACUAAUUUGCUCCAGUUUGCUAAGGCAGGUGCUCAGUUUGUUAAUUGCACCUGUGGAGACUUCUUAAGGAAAUACGAGGUAGACUUUUUUUUUUUUUCAUCACUCCUUGAAUUGGGAGCAAGUUACCAAGAGAAGAACAGCUGGUAGAAAAGAGGAAAAGUAAACAGAUCUUCAAAAGUUAUAGUGGAAAUAAUGCAGGAGUCAAAUGAAGUGUUUGCAGAGGCCAGGAGAUGUGAAUCCAAGGACUGGGAUUUGAUUACAGAAAGGGAGACCCUGCAGAAGACACCCAGGUGAGUGGAUAGAUGAAAACCCUGCAGACUAAUUAAUGUCCAGGGAACAGCUGAGCUGAAAUACAUAGGUAUAUAAGAAGCUUAGUUUAUGAUGAGAAAAGGUCUCUAUAAGGAUGGAGGAUCAGGAUCCAUGUUCCCUGGCCUGUGAGAGCACCCUAAGAUGAAGACAAUGAGGAAGAACCUUUUCUGUCGGUGUCAGACCAGACUCUAGGCAAGGUUAACUGUAAUGGAAGUCUGAGAAGGAAAUGUUUUACUAUCCCUGUAAUUAAUAUGAAACUCUAAAGACAUCCAGAACAGACCAAACUGAAGUCUGUUUUGGAAAGGAUGACUAGUUUACAAGGAAACAGUAAUGGUGUCUGGCCAGUUUGACCCUUGCUGAGUGGAGCAUAAAUAGAUAUCUGUCAUGUUUUUGGGACAGCAUCUCCUCUAGAAAGGCAUAAGCUAACUGGCUGGAUCCUUUGGGGUGUAGCAUCAGAUUCACUGUGCUAACUGUUACCCUGUUGCUGACAUUCAGCUAAUGAAGAAGGGCUUUUUAAUGUGUUUUUGUGGGGUAUUUUAAUUCACGAUCAUCACAAUUUCCAGUGUGAUUCACUGACUGGCGCAGGAAGCAGGAGCCCUGGAGCAGCAAGCUUUGCCUGGCUCGAGUUGGAGGCGACCCUGGGGAACAGGCAGCCUUUCAUUUGAAUAAUGCCUGCGUGGGGACGGGGUGGAGGAGUGGGUGACACUAUUUGGAAUGAAUUUCUAUUUAUAACCAUAAUUCGGCAUUAUGGAAGACAUCUUUUUGACGGGUAAGAGACAUAAAGUGUACCCACAGCUCAGCAGCUUUCCGUGCACUGAAGGGAAAGAGCAGCCUCUGGCCAGGCACCCACCACAGCACUGCUACGGUACCAUGUCCUGAACUGGUAGUGAUGGGAAAUGCCAGCAGUGGACUCUCAACAAGAUGAUUCACACUGCAGCUUGAUUAUCUGCAAAUACAAAUGCAACUCAGAAUUUGUGAACUUAAUGUUGUCCCAUUUCAGGGUGAUCUGAUCAGUGUGAAUAGUGUACGUUCCCUUUAGGAUUUUGUCAAAAUUUUAAUUGAACCCGUAAUAAUUUCAGGCUGUCUAAAAAUAGUUUUUUUGUUGUUUGUUUUGUUUUGUUUUUCUGUAACCUUCUGGAUUCCAAUCAUGUGAUAAUUGAAAUGUAAAUAUUUGCAAAGGAGACAAGUUUCAAAGCUCCUAAUUCUGCUCUUACCAGGGACUGGUGCACACUUCAACAAUUUUGCCACGUCAUUAGCUCUGUCAGCCAGAGCUGUUAUUCUCCCAUUUUCCCUACCCAUCCUGCCAAAAGCUGAUGCAGACAAAACUCCUCCAUCAAAAAAAAAAAAACACCUUUGACAACACAUUCAGACUAAAUUCUGGGAACUGAUUUAAGCUCUACCUGAGAAGGACUGUUUGUACCAUUGUAUCUGUGAUUGUGUGCAUGCAGGGGACCUGAAUUAGGUUUUCUCUAGAAUUUGUUGGUUCACCAAGACCUGCUGUUCCAUAACAGAGAGCUGGUCCAGGCCUGUGUCCAGAUGGUCUUCAAUUUCACGGAUUUUAGAGACUAAAUACAGAUCUACCUUUUGGGACUGUCUGUAAUAGGCGUUCACGUUUGCUAAAGCAGAUCCUAAUCCUGCAGUCCCUCCAUGGGAAGCAGAGUCACGUCCAAUGGAGCAAGUGGAGCUAGCAUGGACAUUUUGUGGCAGCAUGAGUACAAGGUGCAGAAGCUGAGUAAAAAUGGGAAAUGCACAGGUGCACAGUGAUGAGCUACAUCCUUAGACUACAAAAAAAUCUCAUACAUUUUUUAAGUCUUGGUUUAUCUCUUCAGGAAAGAUUGAAUGUGGCAGUGGGAAAGUGUUAAUAAAAAGGUAAAGUGGGAAGUAUUCUGAAUUGCC